UACGUAGGUUGCGAGCGUUAUCCGGAAUCAUUGGGCGUAAAGCGUCUCACGGCGGUUUUGAAAGUCUGUGGUUAAAUCCCGGGGCUCAACCCCGGAUUCGUCAUGGAAACUUCAAGACUUGAGCAGCGAAGAGGUAGAUGGAAUUUCGGAAGUAGGGGUAAAAUCCGUAGAUCUCCGAAGGAACACCAAACGCGAAGGCAUUCUACUGGUCGCUUGCUGACGCUCACGGACGAAAGCGUGGGGAGCAAACAGG
rnacentral:rRNA from 1 species